AACGAGCGCUGGCGGCAUGCCUAACACAUGCAAGUCGAACGAGACCUUCGGGUCUAGUGGCGCACGGGUGCGUAACGAGUGGGAACCUGCCUUUAGGUUCGGAAUAACUCAGAGAAAUUUUAGCUAAUACCGGAUAAUGUCUUCGGACCAAAGAUUUAUCGCCUUUAGAUGGGCCCGCGUAAGAUUAGCUAGUUGGUGGGGUAAAGACCUACCAAGGCGACGAUCUUUAGCUGGUCUGAGAGGAUGAUCGGCCACACUGGGACUGAGACACGGCCCAGACUCCUACGGGAGGCAGCAGUGGGGAAUAUUGGACAAUGGGCGAAAGCCUGAUCCAGCAAUGCCGCGUGAGUGAUGAAGGCCUUAGGGUUGUAAAGCUCUUUUACCAGGGAUGAUAAUGACAGUACCUGGAGAAUAAGCUCCGGCUAACUCCGUGCCAGCCGCCGCGGUAA
rnacentral:rRNA from 1 species